rnacentral:rRNA from 1 species
UCAUCAUCGCCCCUUAUGACCUGGCUACACACGUGCUACAAGUGGUUGGUACAACGAGUUGCGAGUCGGUGACGGCGAGCUAAUCUCUUAAAGCCAAUCUCAGUUCGGAUUGUAGGCUGCAACUCGCCUACAUGAAGUCGGAAUCGCUAGUAAUCGCGGAUCAGCACGCCGCGGUGAAUACGUUCCCGGGCCUU